UACGUAGGGUGCGAGCGUUGUCCGGAAUUAUUGGGCGUAAAGGGCUCGUAGGCGGUCUGUCGCGUCGGGGAGUGAAAACUCAGGGCUUAACCCUGAGCCUGCUUCCGAUACGGGCAGACUAGAGGUAUGCAGGGGGAGAACGGAAUUCCUGGUGUAGCGGUGGAAUGCGCAGAUAUCAGGAGGAACACCGGUGGCGAAGGCGGUUCUCUGGGCAUUACCUGACGCUGAGGAGCGAAAGUGUGGGGAGCGAACAGG
rnacentral:rRNA from 1 species